GUGCUCACUUCAACAGCACAUGUACUAAAAUUGGAAUGAUACAGAGAAGAUUAGCAUUGGCCCUGCUCAAGGAUGACACACACACAGACACACACACACACACACAUU
rnacentral:snRNA from 1 species